CUACGGGUGGCUGCAGUGGGGAAUAUUGCACAAUGGGCGCAAGCCUGAUGCGGCCAUGCCGCGUGUAUGAAGAAGGCCUUCGGGUUGUAAAGUACUUUCAGCGGGGAGGAAGGGAGUAAAGUUAAUACCUUUGCUCAUUGACGUUGCCCGCAGAAGAAGCACCGGCUAACUCCGUGCCAGCAGCCGCGGUAAUACGGAGGGUGCAAGCGUUAAUCGGAAUUACUGGGCGUAAAGCGCACGCAGGCGGUUUGUUAAGUCAGAGGUGAAAUCCCCGGGCUCAACCUGGGAACUGCAUCUGAUACUGGCAGGCUUGAGUCUCGUAGAGGGGGGUAGAAUUCCAGGUGUAGCGGUGAAAUGCGUAGAGAUCUGGAGGAAUACCGGUGGCGAAGGCGGCCCCCUGGACGAAGACUGACGCUCAGGUGCGAAAGCGUGGGGAGCAAACAGGAUUAGAUACCCGUGUAGUC
rnacentral:rRNA from 1 species